UGGCUCAGACCCUGCCGACCUCUACACCCCAGCUGACCACGGGGAGCUCUGCACAUGCCAGAUGCUGGGGCUUCCCUGGCCCCGACUGGCUGGCCACAGGCAGGGCUGGCAGGAGAAGCGACCGCCACCCUGCGUGUCCCAGGAGGGCAGGGACAGUUGAGGGCGCCCAUAGGAACGCUGCACAGUGGAGAACGCAUGCAGGCCUCCAACCAUGGCCAGGGCCCUGCGGCGUGGCCCCGUGUCUACCUGUAAAGGUGUGGGGCAGACUUGAGGAGCUCUAACCCAGCACCUAGGACUUCAACUUCAGCCUCGUACCUUGCUGCCAUUUAGGCCUUUCCUGCAGUCGUAUAACUGACAGUUAGACAGGUCGGGGCUGGAGGCUCCUCUCGGAGCGCAGGCAGCAGCUCUGCCACGGGAGGAGCCGGCUCCGGCCCCAGAACCGGCCACUUGUAGAUGCUCGGGGCAGACAGUCAAGACUAGGGGAAGUUUGUGAACUGGGUGACAUCUGGUUGGUCCCCUGAAAUCUGCCACAUUGGGCAGUUACACCACAGCCAUGGGCAAAUGCUGCAAACCAGAACCCCCUCCCCAAGCUGGAUGCUCAAUGUUGUCAGCACCCUGCGUGGCAACCUCACUUCCUCCAACCCCACCCCAGAGUGGAAAGGGCUUCAAACUACACGCAACACAGCUCACCCACCAAGCAUGCCAGCACGAGAGAACAUGCCUCAACUCCAGGGGCGCCCACCUGUGCCAGGGUCUCAUCCAGGGAAGUCCCUCACACCCACCCUCUUCUACGCCCUCCUGAGGUGAGUGGGUGCCUCCAAGCCUCUCCAUCUCACCGACCCGGUGCUCACAGCCCCAGGCUGCAACCCUGGAGGGGAGGGCAGCUGUGCCGGUUUCUGUGUCCUCACCCCAGACAGACAGCUGCUGUGCUGGGCACAAGCCUGGGGUCGCCCCAAAUGCCUCUCUUCCUGCUGCCCCACGCCAAAGCGUGGCAGCACUGCCCCUCGCCACCACCACUUGCUAGGAUUUCCAUGAAGCCCUCCCAGCAGGGCUCCCUGCUCUGUCCCGCAAGGACUGCCUAGCCCGCACCGCAGGGUGAUCCUGUUAAAACCAAGUCGGCUUAAGUCACUGGUUGGCUCAAAACCUCCCAGGGGCUCCAUGUGACUCACAGUGAAAGCGAGUCCUGCCCCACCCUGGUUGGUGGGGCCUGGGGUGACCCAGGGUGACCGAGUCCUGAGACCUGUGUCCUGUCUCCUGUGACUUGCGGCCCUCCCUCAAGGCCUGGACAGCAGCAGGCUCCUGCCCUUCCAAGGCCUCCAGGUACCUCCCAGAACACCCUUCCUGCUGGGCCCCCAGGCAGCACAGACGCUGGGGCCAGCCACACAACCUGGUCCUUCCACUUCCCCAUGAGGCUCCUGAGGGUGGAGGAGUCAGGCACAGAGAGAGCUCACACCAGUGAUGGGCACCAAGCACCACACGCAGCUCCGCUGAGACUGCCGGGUAGCACCCUGACUGACGGCCCAGGCUGUGCUGCUGCUGCCUCCCAGGGCCCAGAUGUCGGCUCCCAGAUGUCAGUCAGGUGGGGACAUUCCUAGUAUCCACUGCUGCUGCACAGGCCCAGGGGCCAGGAAAUGGGGCUGAAACUGACCUUUGGGGAUGUGGGGGUGGUCAGGGCACAAAGGAAGGCUCCCAGGCUGCAGGCCAGCUUCCUCCAAGCAUGAGGAUGGACAGUCACAGCUCAACAUGGGGGCCUGCUUAUGCUGCCGUCGGGACCCCACGCCUGGCCAGAUCAGGCCCUCUAAGCCAUCCACUUCCAACCACCUGACUACUGUUCCAAACCGGAGGCUGAGCAGGAGCCCAGCUCCAGCCAUGGACACCGGAGUGCAUGCCUCGUCCUGGGUGGGGAGGGCAGCCCCGCCCAGCCAUGGACUGUGAGCUUGAGCAAGGCAGAGGGAGGGGCGCCCUGGGCUCUGGUUGGCACCAGCCCAUGAGCCACAGCAGAGCCGCCCAAGGCCCAGCCCAGGAGCCCUCUUGCUGCUGCCAGGGAAAUCCUGACCAAUGUGGUUAAAGCUCUGGGGCUGCACCUGGUGCCAGCAUGCACUCACUGAAUGCCAGUGGUCACUACAGGUCCUGAGGGUGCAGCUUGCCUCCAGCUCCGCUACCUGGCAGAAACACACUGACCCCAACAAGACCUGGAAGGCUGAGGGUGCAGUGUAAAAAGCCUCUGGCACACACUGGCAGGCGACUGCCCCACCCUCGGUGGCGAGGCAUGGUGACCUCACCUCUCCUCUCCUGGAACACAAACCCUGCCCUCUGAGACACCUACACCCCACACACUCAGAUUUUUGCAAAAACUCAAGGACAACACGAUGCCAUGGUGCUGGGACCCACCACCUGACAAGGACCACGCCUGGCAGGACGAGACCAGGAGGCGACAGUCAGGCAGAGAAGAUGAAGAAACCAGAAGGCAUCUGUGCAAGGGAGCCCCACACAGACACUGGAAAGAACCAGGGCAACCUGCAGACCAACUUGUAAGACCUCCCCUAGGGCGACGGAAAUGAGAUGAGGCAAACGGCUUCCCAACCAGAGCCCAUGCACCUUCCACGUCUGUGCAGGGAGCUUGGGGCCACAUCCCAAGAUAGGAAAGACAACUGAGGCUUCCACAAAGAAAUUACAAUGAAACAGACACUGGCCAGGCCAGCUGAAAAUCAGUGAUGGACUACGGUCCAAAUCGACAUGGAGGUUCCAACAAGGACGGUGGUGGGGUCACCCUACCCCAGCCUCCGAGUGCCCCAGAGGACGCACAAGCAGGACAGCCACCCUGUUGCAGUGCGGUGCUUUCACACCAUGUUCACCCCACCUCCGCCCUCUGGCCCAGACGUCGGUGGCUCCUCUGCAGGGUAAGGUGAGGUGAGGUGAGGUAGGAGCAGACAGUGGAGAAACACCACAAACAGCACAGGUGGUCGGCCAGGGCCACGAGCCCUUCAGCUCACCGAUGCCAAGACCCCGCAAUCCCCACAACAAACCUGCAAGGUCAGAAUGAUUGCGCACAUGUACAGACGACUAAGCUGAGGCCCCUUCCUCCUUCACCUCUGGAGUGCCACCUGAGCGCAGAGGCUUUGGGACACAAAGCACUCAGCAGUCGGAAGUGGAGGCACAGCCUAGGAUCAAGACCCUGGGCUUCCUGUCCCAGGCUCCUCAACCUGCAGGCGGCCACACAGCAAGAGGACCCUGGGAAGUUAAAGAACGAGGCGCUCCUGCUUCCCCCACCCCCAAUGGCCAGCAAGGACACAAAGGCAGCCAAGGGCAGGGCCAGCUGCCAGCCACAAGGGCCCUCCAGAACCCAAGGUCCAGUGGAGACUCCGAAAGGGCUGAUUGCAGGGCCCCCAAGGGGUCCGCACACCAGACACAGAGGCCAUGCCGAAAGGCGGUAAGGGGCCCCCAUGGGGUCCGCACACCAGACACAGAGGCCAUGCCAAAAGGCGGUAAGGAGCCCCCAUGGGGGUCCGCAUACCAGACACAGAGGCCCUGCAAGAGGGAGGCAUGGAGCGCCCGCGGUGUCGGCACACCAGGAUUCACAGCUCGGCUCUCCACCCUGGCUGACCUCGCUGUGAAGAGAUGGUUUGUGCUGAGAGCUUAGCAAGGCCAUCGUCUACCGAGUGCUUCCCACCAUAGCCCAUGGGCAGGCAUGAGAGUCAUGCCUCCCACAGGCCAUAGCUUCACUCAUGCAAGGACGUUCUGGGGGCUGGGACGUCCUAGCCAGUGGCUAGAACUGGGUGUGACCAUGGGCCCCCUUGGCUGGGGAGAAAAGGAGGUGCCCCUAGAUCCCAAGUCCCCUGGGGCCGCAGCAAAGGGAGGAGGACCUUGCAUCACUCCAGGGUGCCACGUAGACGAACAGAGGUAACACUGGGAGCAUGGCUGGCAGUGUUGGACAUUCAGAACACGUCUGCCCAAAACAAACAUGGCCUUCAUUUCUCCCAGCUCCCAGAAACAAGUAAACAGAAGGAUCAUGUCUGGACACCAGGGACCAGCUCCUGUUACAUCCCUGUCCCCCCCAGGCCGGAGCCUGACCAUUCCGUGUCACCUGCCUCUACUCCUGUAGUGACUGUCAACUUUCUGGAUUUCAGAAAGCCAAACCCGCGAGGGAAGCCUUUCCCCGGGGGGUGGAGGUGUCUCUCCUACACACACCCCUACCCCAGGGUCUGAGAUGACAUCCCAAAUCAAACCUGGUAUUCUGCAGAGAUACACAAAGGUUCAAACUACAGACAGCCUUGUAUCAGCUAUAAAGGGGGGCCAGAUUUUGCUGCAAAAGAAAAACCCCGGUAUUCCCUCGCUCAGCCCACUGUGUCACCAAGAGGGAGGGUGGGCGGGUGGCCGAAGAGGGCUCCAUUUUAUAGUCUAGGAAGGGGUGGCCUGGGACCUACAGCUGGUGGGGCAGUGGCACUGGAUCUGAAGCAAAGCUGGGCACUGGAGGGCUGUGCCUUGGGCCGGUGUGCUGGCAGCGCCUGCUGGAGGAGCCAAGGGGCACUGAUUCAACACUGACUGUAUUUCCGGAACCAGAGUUAGUAUCGCUGGUGUGGUGGCAUUGUGGUUAUAACCUUUCGAAAGUCUUCAUCUUUCAGAGAUUUGGACUGAAAGUUCUAUGAAUGAAAUGUGUCUGGAAUUUGCUUCAUGAUAACGUCGGGGGUGAAAAUAAGUGGGGUCUGGAGAAACGGGCCAGCCCAGAGCUGCCCUCCCCCGCAGAAGCUGCUCAGAGGGAAGAGGGUGCACCUCCCUUCUCCCCGGGCCCCCAGCACCCCAUUCCUCAAUACACACUCUGCAUCCUGCAUCCUCACAGCAACUGUGGGGUCCAGGGUUCUGCCUUGCACCCAUUCUCCACCUUCAUGCAAUGGGGAAGAAGCCGAGGGGACUCCUGUGAGGAAGUGGGACAGGGGUGGGGCAGAUGGACUCAGGUGGAGUGACUCGGGCUGGAGGAAGGCAGCGGUGCCAGAGACCCCAGUGCCUUAAAGUCUAGACACGAGACACACAAAACCUUCGUACCGCAAUCCCUCCUUCACCCCUCGCAGCUGCCCUGUGGGAAUGUGCAGCAGAAGGGGGUGUGGUCUCCUGGGGGUAAACCCUUGCUCCUUUUCUUGAGGACCCUGGACACUGGUGGGGCUGGAAGCCUGUCUGCUAAAAUGUGAACCUGAAGGGUCUGUGAGCAUGUACAGUGCAGGAAGAACUCAUUUCACCCCUCAGCCCUCCUGUGGUGAAGGUGCUCCCACACAGCCUGCUGGCAGCCGCCUCGCUCUGGGGGCUCUUUGCUGUGCGGGCAAGGCCCCCUCAGGAAGGCAGCUCGGCCAUUAGCUGCCUGUCACAGCAGCAGCAGCCUCGUCCUCAGCAAACGCACUCCAUCCCUGGGUCCAUGGCAGGGAAGCUGUGGGUCCUUGGGGGACAGGCCUGGGGAGCCAGAUGUGCCACUGCUGCUCUCCCCUGGGCACUGCAGGACAGGGAUGGAGCUCUGUCUCCCAGAGGAGGAGGCGGAGGCUCAGAGACCCUCCCUGGGGCCCACCUCCCCGGGUCUCCCACUCAGCUGCCCACAAAACCCAUGCUAGAGAGCCCACAGGCACUGCCUGCCGGGCCCAGCAGAGACAGAGGCAGAGGCCAACCUUGCCAGUCGGGUAAAAGUCGGAGUGAGCAGGCAGCCUGCCUUAGACACAAGAGGAUCCGAAACUGCCCAGAGAGGAAACUCAGACAAACCACAAAAGUCCUCGAACACCAAGCGAAAACCCAGCAGUGAAUGGGUCUGGUGAAAUCCUCAAGAAGGACCCAGGCCACGCACAGUGGCUCAGGCCGGUGACCCCAGCACCUUGGGAGCGGCAGGAGGAUCCCCUGAAGCCAGGAGUUCGAGACCAGCCUGGGCAACAUAGUAAGACCCUGAUUCUACAAAAAUUUAAAAAAAUUAGCCGGGCCUGGUGGCGCACCUAGAAUCCCAGCUAUUCAGGAGGCUGAGGUGGGAGGAUCACUUGAGCCUGGGAGUUUGAGGACGCAGUCAGCUGUGAUCGCACUGCUGCACUCCAGCCUGGAUCCCAGACCAAGACCCUGACACACACACACACACACACACACACCCCACACACAUGCGCGCGAUCUGGAAUGCCAUGGAGAUUUCCAAAGUAGCCAGCGGGCAGGGCAGUGGCCAGGCUCCCCUAACACUGACUAGCCCCCUUCCUGGGUCCCACUCAUGCCCUAUCCAGGAGGGGCUCUGUGCUGGACAUGGAAGGAAUGUUGGUGAGGUGGCCCGAAUCCUACCUAUCCUCACCCUUGCUGUGUGGCCCCAGGCAGGCCCACCUCUGGCCCUGAAGCUGUGGGUGGCCCCCUGAACUCUUCCCAAGGUCCCUGGACUCUGCCUUCCUCUCCAUAGGGCACAGGAGGACCUGAAUGAAAAGCAGAAAUUCAGCCCCCUUUAGGCUGGCCCGGCCCAGAAUUUAUCAGAAAAGAUGCUGAGUCCAGGGCUGUUUCAGGGCUGUGGACAAACGGGGAGGAAAUGGGAAUCUGUCCAGUUGCCACCAAAGAAAACACCCAGAAAAGCCAGUAGCAGCCUUCUUGACCCCUCCUGCCAUUCCAUGGCCCUCCUGGGGAGCAGGGACCCAGAGGGGCAGGAGCAGGCAUGCCGCCUGGCCAGCACAGCAGCCCAGCCUUCAGGCACUCCACAGAGGGAAGACAGAGGGGUGUUGCCCCCAACGCCACACCCUGGGGCAAACCAGCCAAGGGGCAGUGGCUGGACCAUGGGGGCAUCUCUAGCCUGGCCUGGCCCCAGAGCAAAAAGUCCUUAUUUGGGGUCUAGGGAUGGGGAGUCCCAGCUUUCAGCAAACAGGCAGGGUUGGGAGGAUGGCUUACCAAGGCCAUUCCGGCUAUAGCAUGGGUCGGGAGGACCAGUGGCAGGGAGGGGCAGGGCUACACAGCUCUGCAGGGGCUCAACCAGGCCUGCCAGCUUAAGGGUGGGAGACAGGAGCACUGGAACCAGAGGUGGAGGUGCUGGAGGAAGCGAGGGGAGGCCUUUCCCAGGGGCUCCCCAUUCCCCAUGGGUCUCCAGCCCUGGGAUUUCCAUAGCUCUGGGCCUCUGUACUCAGGUCCCUGUGUCCCUGACUGGGUGGCCCCCACUGGGGCACUCCAGCCCGUCUCCUGGACUCUGCCCUGCGUCAGUGGGGGUCAGAUGAGCCCCAUCUUCCGUAAGUGGAGGGGAUGCUCACAGGUGAAGGGGCACAACGUCGCCCAGGCAGAGAAGGCCAGAGCCAGCUUGAACAAAGCUAGACAUCCACGCCAGACUCACCGCCAGCACCCCACGGUCCCAGAAUUCUCAGGAUAAUGCUGGGAGCAGUGCUGUGAUCGGCUGUGGCAGGAAGGAGCUGAGUCUGUGAGAAGGGAUCCCAGCCUGCUGCCCCCACAGCCCCAUCUAACCCGGCCAACCUAGCACCUGUCCCCAGGCGGCCAGAGGGGCCUCCCCGGCCCACGUGGUGACCAGCGGCCACCCUCCAGGACUCGGGAAACUGGAUCUGUCAGGGCAGGGCUGCCUUCAGUGACAGACGGAGCCAACUGCUUCCUUCUAUGGAGCCAGGGGAGAAGUCGGGGGUUGAGGGCCCCCUGUAGCCCUGAAGGAGCCCUGCGGAGGGCAGCUGGGCAUCGUGGGCCCCACCCAAGCAGGCAUGGCCAGCCCUGGCGCCUACUCCCCAGGGGUAUCUGCCCAGUGCCGUGAGCCCCCCAUGCACAGCGCACCUGCUCUCUUGCAGCUGCCUGGCCGCCUGGAGGGUCCGGCUCUACAGGCCCAGCCCUGUCCCGGGGCGCUUCAGCGGACUGGGGGGGCUAUCCUGAGGCAUGGCCCCAGACACCCUGGGCAGGUGCAGCUGCCAGCACUGCCUCUCCCAUGACUGUCCCCUGCACCCCAGUUCUCCCUACUCUGCACCCACCAGUGCCUUCUAGACCUAAGACCUCAUAUGCCUCCUGCUUUCUGAACCCAGGGCCUGUGCUUCUCCAUGGCCCCAUGGCCCCGGGAGAGCGGCCUCUCUGAAGGUUUCCCUUCCUGCCAUGACGCCCCCACAGCCUUCUGGUCAAAACCCGUCACCUCUUCCAAGCUCCAUCCCCACUCGCCUCUCUACCCACUCCUCAAAUAGAGAGGACUCAAAGGAUGCUCUACCCCCGCGGGACCCUCAUGAGGGACGUGAGGAGGCCCGACCCUCCGCACACGCUGGGAACAAGGAAGCUGGCCCCACAGACACCGGUCAGGCCCUCCCAACCCCAGGCCACCGCCACGUAGUCAGGGUCUCCCACGGGCCUGGGAAGGGCAGGAGAGCCACGACUCAGGCAGGGGACUCUCUUCAGAGGGGCAGUGAGUGAGGACAGCAUCUGGCCCUUUAGAGGGAAGGGGACACCGUGCUCUUAGAGGGACACAGACUCAGGGUCAGGCCCUGGUGCUCCAUACUUCCUAAAACAAAGCUGCGGCAGGCCCACCUAGCAUCCAUCUGUCUGCUCCAUCUCCUCUCAGCCGGCCUGACAAGAACCAAACUCACAAAACACCCCGGCCCCAGGAGACAAGCCUGGCCUCACUGCUGUCCCACUCAGCCAUGCCGAGCCAGGACAAGGGGCCAGCAGGGCCGCAGCUCUCAGACCAUCCCCUUGGUUAUCUCGUCUAUGUCCUCUGCCCACCCCCAACCACAAACGCCCAGGACUGCAGGAUGCCCCCAGGCCUGUUGCCAGGACAGACUGGAGGCAGAGCCAAGAGCAGAGCGCGGGCGCGCAGCACAUCUGUCUGUAAGUCCACAGCCCACGGAGCCACCGUGCUUGACCCUUGCCUCCUACCCAGCCCCUGGCACCAGCGAGGGCCUGGUCAGCAUACCCAGGGCUCUGUUCUGUGGUGUGGGCAGAUGGGGGUGGGUGGCACCCUGGACCCAAGGCUCACACAGCUGCCCCUUUGCAUAUUUUGCUCCUUGUGGGAUUGUCAGGCCAGGGCUCCAGGGACGCAUGGCACAGGGAGGGCAUCCUCUCAGCCGCUUAUAGUAGAUUCUUCCUUCUGCCACGACAGGUUAGAGCUACAACACUCGGCACUCCUGCAGGGGCCGGGCACCUCACACAGAUGCAUCUGUGCCUCAUCUCGGUCAGUGCUCACACGGAGGCUAAGGCCGUCCCGCCCCAGAGUCCCACAGCUCCCAGGUACCGACUCGGAGCCCCAGGUCCCUCACAGGUGCACUGAGGGCGCUCCCUCUGCCCCAGACUCCAGGCCUGGCCAGCAGCCGCCUCUGCAGAUCACACCCAAGUCCACCAGGCGCUAUGCAAAACGCUGCAGCUGGUGGUUAUCAAGCCACACUCAGAAAGAUCCAGCCGGCGACUCCUGAACAUCACCGCACCCUCAGCGGGACACUUUUCCAAGUGGCUGGAGAAGUUGUCUCCCAUAACACCGUGUUAACUUCUGACGAACUCAGUACCUUGGGGGCCUGUGGCAAGGAGGGGGGCGGGGGCACGUUCCAUGCCCCAUCUUCCCAACACCAGGCUCUGAAGGCCCCGCGAGGAGGCAGCCUGUGAACUGACUCUCAGGGAACAGCCACAGACUGGUGUGAGACACAGACAGCCAACAGCACGGACACGACAGGGUCCAAGCCUCCAGCCACACACACAGGUCCUGUCUCCACUGCGGGCUCAAUCAGGAGUGGCCAGAAGACUUACAAUUUAAACCACCAACACGUGAAUGGCCCAAAGUGACACUUUCCCUUUAAAAUAAGAGCUCUCGGUCAGGCAUGGUGGCUCACACCUGUAAUCUCAGCACUUUGGGAGGCUGAGAUGGAUGGAUCACCUGAGGUCAGGAGUUCAAGACCAGCCUGGCCAACAUGGCGAAACCCCAUGUUUACCAAAAAAUUAAAAAAAAAAAAAAAUAGCUGGGCGUGGUGGCGGGCACCUGUAAUCCCAGCUACUUGGGAGGCUGAGGCAGGAAGAAUUGCUUGAACCCGGGAGGCGGAGGUUGCAGUGAGGGGAAAUCACGCCAUUACACACCAGCCUGGGCACCAGAGUGAGACUCUCUCUCAAAAUAAAUAAAUAAACAAAUGAGCUCUCAAGCAUCUUGGCCGAGCAUGGUGGCUCACGCUUGUAAUCCCAGCACUUCAGGAGGCUGAGAUGGGUGGGUCACUUAUGGCCAGGAGUUUGAGACCAGCCUGGCCAACAUGGUAAAACGCCAUCUCUACUAAAAAUACAAACAAACAAAUAAGCAAGCCCUCAGGCCUCCCAGAUGGCAGGAGCCCAGGAACCGGAGCAGGGAGGUCCGGGCACAGGGACCCAUGAUUUCUGUGCCCAUGAUUUCACAGAAAGGAGAACAGGCAAAGAAAGCCCUAUGCUCCGCCACCAGCUGAGCACCUCUACAAGGUGGCAGUACCAACAAAAACACAGGAGCAAGACCAUUCUUGGCAAACGAUGACCCAAAUGCACCUGGCGCCCCAUCAUGCUUUGCCACCUGUGCAUCUCCUCUGCUCCAACAAGGGGGCGGAGCCACAGGGGUCAGGAAAGCCCAAGGCAGACCCACAAGUUCCAAAACCUUUUAUGGCAAGAAGCCUUGCAUUCUACCUUGAUUCAUCCAGUUACCUUCUAGCUUCAACCAGAUACUGGCUUCGUGAUAUAGGGGACCUGCCAGCUAGGCGUGGUGGCUCACGCCUGUAAUCCCAGCACUUUGGGAGGCCAAGGCAAGUGGAUCACGAGGUGAAGAGUUCGAGACCAGCCUGUCCAACCCAGUGAAACCCCGUCUCUACUAAAAAUACAAAAAAUUAGCUGGGCAUGGUGGCAGACGCCUGUAAUCCCAGCUACUCGGGAGGCUGAAGCAGGAGAAUUGCUAGAACCCGGGAGGUGGAGGUUGCAGUGCGCUGAGAUUGCGCCACUGCACUGCAGCCUGGGCGACACUGCGAGACUCCAUCUCAAGGAAAAAAAAAAAAAAAA